GAAUCGUGGAGUUUAUUGGGCCUAAGCAUCCGUAGCUGGCUAAGUUAGUCCCUUGUUAAAUCCACCGAAUUAAUCGUUGGAUUGCGGGGGAUACUGCUUGGCUAGGGGACGAGAGAGGCAGACGGUAUUUCCGGGGUAGGGGUGAAAUCCUAUAAUCCCGGGAAGACCACCAGUGGCGAAGGCUGUCUGCUAGAACGCGCCCGACGGUGAGGGAUGAAAGCUGGGGGAGCGAACCGGAUUAGAUACCCGGGUAGUCCCAGCUGUAAACGAUGCAGACUAGGUGUUUGGACGGCCACGUGCCGUUCUAGUGCCGCAGGGAAGCUGUUAAGUCUGCCGCCUGGGGAGUACGAUCGCAAGAUUGAAACUUAAAGGAAUUGCGGGGGGGAGCACAAA
rnacentral:rRNA from 1 species